CCUACGGGAGGCAGCAGUGGGGAAUAUUGGACAAUGGGGGCAACCCUGAUCCAGCCAUGCUGCGUGUGUGAAGAAGGCCCUCGGGUUGUAAAGCACUUUCAGUGAGGAAGAACGCCUGGUGGUUAAUACCCAUCAGGAAAGACAUCACUCACAGAAGAAGCACCGGCUAACUCCGUGCCAGCAGCCGCGGUAAUACGGAGGGUGCGAGCGUUAAUCGGAAUUACUGGGCGUAAAGCGCGCGUAGGUGGCUUGAUAAGCCGGUUGUGAAAGCCCCGGGCUCAACCUGGGAACGGCAUCCGGAACUGUCAAGCUAGAGUGCAGGAGAGGAAGGUAGAAUUCCCGGUGUAGCGGUGAAAUGCGUAGAGAUCGGGAGGAAUACCAGUGGCGAAGGCGGCCUUCUGGACUGACACUGACACUGAGGUGCGAAAGCGUGGGUAGCAAACAGGAUUAGAUACCCGUGUAGUC
rnacentral:rRNA from 1 species